UGUAUGGUUAAGUGACUAAGCGUACACGGUGGAUGCCUGGGCAGUCAGAGGCGAUGAAGGACGUACUAACUUGCGAUAAGCGCAGAUAAGGCAGUAAGAGCCGUUUGAGUCUGCGAUUUCCGAAUGGGGAAACCCAACUGCAUAAGCAGUUACUGUUAACUGAAUACAUAGGUUAACAGAGCAAACCGGGGGAACUGAAACAUCUAAGUACCCCGAGGAGAAGAAAUCAACCGAGAUUCCGGUAGUAGCGGCGAGCGAACCUGGAUUAGCCCUUAAGCACUCGGUGAAGUAGGUGAACAAGCUGGAAAGCUUGGCGAUACAGGGUGAUAGCCCCGUAACCGACGCUUCAUCGAGCGUGAAAUCGAGUAGGGCGGGACACGUGAUAUCCUGUCUGAAUAUGGGGGGACCAUCCUCCAAGGCUAAAUACUCCUGACUGACCGAUAGUGAACCAGUACCGUGAGGGAAAGGCGAAAAGAACCCCUGUGAGGGGAGUGAAAUAGAACCUGAAACCGUGUACGUACAAGCAGUAGGAGCACCUUCGUGGUGUGACUGCGUACCUUUUGUAUAAUGGGUCAGCGACUUAUAUUCAGUGGCAAGGUUAACCGUAUAGGGGAGCCGUAGCGAAAGCGAGUCUUAACUGGGCGCUCAGUCUCUGGAUAUAGACCCGAAACCGGGUGAUCUAGCCAUGGGCAGGUUGAAGGUUGAGUAACAUCAACUGGAGGACCGAACCGACUAAUGUUGAAAAAUUAGCGGAUGACUUGUGGCUAGGGGUGAAAGGCCAAUCAAACUCGGAGAUAGCUGGUUCUCCCCGAAAGCUAUUUAGGUAGCGCCUCGGACGAAUACUACUGGGGGUAGAGCACUGUUAAGGCUAGGGGGUCAUCCCGACUUACCAACCCUUUGCAAACUCCGAAUACCAGUAAGUACUAUCCGGGAGACACACGGCGGGUGCUAACGUCCGUCGUGGAGAGGGAAACAACCCAGACCGCCAGCUAAGGUCCCAAAGUAUUGCUAAGUGGGAAACGAUGUGGGAAGGCUCAGACAGCUAGGAUGUUGGCUUAGAAGCAGCCAUCAUUUAAAGAAAGCGUAAUAGCUCACUAGUCGAGUCGGCCUGCGCGGAAGAUGUAACGGGGCUAAGCAAUACACCGAAGCUGCGGCAAUGUCUUUUAGACAUUGGGUAGGGGAGCGUUCUGUAAGCCGUUGAAGGUGAAUCGUAAGGUUUGCUGGAGGUAUCAGAAGUGCGAAUGCUGACAUGAGUAACGACAAAGGGGGUGAAAAACCUCCUCGCCGGAAGACCAAGGGUUCCUGUCCAACGUUAAUCGGGGCAGGGUGAGUCGACCCCUAAGGUGAGGCCGAAAGGCGUAAUCGAUGGGAAACGGGUUAAUAUUCCCGUACU
rnacentral:rRNA from 1 species